rnacentral:rRNA from 1 species
AAACUUGGAAGAGCAGCACACCCUCUGUGCUGUCUGGUGCACCUUCUUCGGCCCUUGAAAAUUUGAGGGAAACUUUAUUGCUCGCCUGGCCGUACCCAUAACCGCAUCAGGUCUCCAAGGUUAGCAGCCUCUAGUACGUAGAAUAAUGUAGAUAAGGGGAAUUCGGCAAAAUAGAUCUGUAACUUCGGGAAAAAGAUUGGCUCUGAGGGUCAGGUCAAGGGCCCUGUUGAUCGGGAUAGUUGUGCUUGAUGGGGCAACCUGUCGGCGUCAGCGAUGCCUUGAUUUUCAGGUCACCCUUGACAGCGAAUGACCAACUCAGAACUGGAGCAGCGAGAGGAAUCCGACUGUUUAAUUAAAACAGAGCAUUGUGAAGGCCGUAAACGGUGUUGACACAAUGUGAUUUCUGCCCAGUGCUCUGAAUGUCAACGUGAAGAAAUUCAUCUAAGCGACGGGUAACGGCGGAGUAACUAU